GAAAACCAACAGUAUUUUGUAUUUGUUGUUGUUUCCUCCUCUCCCUUUCCACCAUGAACAACUACACUAAUUCUUCUCAUGGCUGUGAUCAAGUAGCUUUAAACGAUUUACUUAUGAGAGGAGAGCUUCUUCAACCUCAGAUUUACAAGAGCAUAAGGAAACAUAAUGUGGAAAUUCAUAGGAUAUACAUCAGGAGUGUGAUAUAAUUGGUUACAUGGCAUUUUCAUCCCCUGUUCCUCCAAUCACCUAAGAUUUUUCUUAUGAUGAUAGACUGGAGAAACUUUGAGCUUUGCAAGGUUUCUUCUUAUACUCGGUCUCGCCAGACUCCUGCCUUCCCAUCUAUUUCAUUUCUCAGUCAGUGCCAGAUAUUAGAAAGAAAUUUUAAAAGACUGAGGAGGAUCCCCAAACUCCCCUACAGGAAUUGGUGAAAAUGGAUUUUAAAGUUUUUAAUGCUUGAGAAUGACAGCUGAGUCAACCCAAGAGACAAAGCUGUAAUGGAAUACUUUCCAAGCCCAAGCCUUUGCAGCUUCUCUGAGGACACCACGGGCCCCACAAGGGGUAGAAGGGAAGUCAGCCAUGAGGCUCCAUCCUGCUGGAGCUCAGCCCAAGUCAACCCACCAAAAACUUGCUUCAAAUGAGACGAGCAGGGCCACAGCCACCCAGGAGGCCAUGCCCUGUCUGCUGAUAGCCUGGGCACUGGAAAUCCGAAUGCCCCUGUGCAGGCUCGUCCUCUAAGCCAUGCCUUGGAGGUCCAGCCUCACCAGCACUGGCAACUGAGAAUUCCUAAGCCUGGCGGAGAACUGACACAGCCUAGACCUGCUGAAUCCACUGCCCUCUCCAAGCCUAGGGUGACGCUGCGGGUAACAGAAACUUGCCUUCAUUGCUGCCUCAAGAAACAGAUGCCUGAGAUCUCCAGGAUGACAAUUGACUGGAUGCUCCUCCCCUCACACCUCCUGCUGUACGUGAGCCCAGCAACUCCCAACUCCUCUUUCCUAUGUCACUCCAUGCCCAAAGGAAGUAAUUAGACUUGAGCCAGCACCUCUAUACCCAAAGAAUCUGGAAUAUUUGGGUGGGAGCUCUACCUCAGGCCCUGGCACCCUGGCUUCCCUAUACCCAAGAGUCUGGAAUGUUUGGAAGGAGUCUGGUGGAAGAUCCAUCUUAACUCUCCUCCCCUAUCUCUUUCCCCAAACCUGCUCCUUCAAAGCCUACCAAACACAGUUCCUCUCCAAAUCCACCCCUUCAAAGCCUGCCAAACACAGCUCCUCCCCCAGAGCUGCAUCCCCAAAAACAGACAUGUGCUUCUUCCAGUCUCCCAUCCCUG